AACCAUAGAAACCUGCGGAGUACCUGCGGAGGGAUCAUUAUAGUAUAUGGAAUCUCCAUUCUAUAAACCCACUCUGCGUAUCUUGUAACUGUUGCUUCCAUGGGACUUGGUUCCGCCACACCGGCCUCACGGCUGGUGAGCGCCCAUGGAAGGAGAAACAAAACUCUUCUUUGAAAUGUAGUCAGUCUGAACAAGUUUUUAUAAACGUUAAAACUUUCAGCAAUGGAUCUCAGAUCGGAA
rnacentral:misc_RNA from 1 species